GGAAAGACCCCCGUGACCUUUACUAUAGUUUGGUAUUGGUGUUCGGUGUGGCUUGUGUAGGAUAGGUGGGAGACUGUGAAGCGGGCACGCCAGUGUUCGUGGAGUCAUCGUUGAAAUACCACUCUGGUCACUCUGGAUAUCUAACUUCGGCCCGUGAUCCGGGUCAGGGACAGUGCCUGAUGGGGAGUUUAACUGGGGGCGGUUGCCUCCCAAAAAUGUAACGGAGGCGCCCAAAGGUUCCCUCAGCCUGGUUGGCAAUCAGGUGUCGAGUGCAAGUGCACAAGGGAGCUUGACUGUGAGAGUGGCAGCUCGAGCAGGGACGAAAGUCGGGACUAGUGAUCCGGCGGCUCGUUGUGGAACGGCCGUCGCUCAACGGAUAAAAGGUACCUCGGGGAUAACAGGCUGAUCUUGCCCAAGAGUCCAUAUCGACGGCAUGGUUUGGCACCUCGAUGUCGGCUCGUCGCAUCCUGGGGCUGGAGUAGGUCCCAAGGGUUGGGCUGUUCGCCCAUUAAAGCGGUACGCGAGCUGGGUUCACGUCGUGAGACAGUUCGGUCCUAUCCUCUGCGCGCGUGAAAUUUGAGAAGGUCUGUCCUUAGUACGAGAGGACCGGGACGGACGAACCUCUGGUAUGUCAGUUGUACCGCCAGGUGCAU
rnacentral:rRNA from 1 species